GUCCACGCCGUAAACGAUGGAUACUAGCUGUUCGGCGCAAGUUGAGUGGCUAAGCGAAAGUGAUAAGUAUCCCACCUGGGGAGUACGUUCGCAAGAAUGAAAACUCAAAGGAAUUGACGGGGGGCCCCGCACAAGCGGAGGAGCAUGUGGUUUAAUUCGAUGAUACGCGAGGAACCUUACCAGGGCUUAAAUGGGAGACGACAGGACUGGAAACAGUUUUUUCUUCGGACGUCUUUCAAGGUGCUGCAUGGUUGUCGU
rnacentral:rRNA from 1 species